UAUCGCCAGUUAACCUUUAUUUUUGAAAAAUAAAUUUAUUAAAAAAAAUUCAAAUAAUACUUUCUGUUAUUUUGAUUGCAAUAUUGAGAAUUAAUUAAAAAUUUUAAAAAUUUUAAUUUAAAGUAUUUAUUCUAAAAUUUUACUAUUAAAUAUAAAAAUAAUAUAAAAAUAAUCAAUAUUAUUUUGUUUACUUGGUUCGAUAAAACACACAUAUUAAAAAUCUAGUCAAUAAAAAUUAUUUUUUCCCUUUUUUACCCUUAACUUAUUAAGAUAUUAAUAAAAGUCUUUUAUUUAAUAAAUAAUCAUAAAGGCUAUUACGAGAAAAAAUAAUUAUUUAAACAUACAAAUUUAAAAGUCUUACGAACAUUUUGAGUCAUCCUAAAAGGGAAUAACAAGCGAACAAAGUAAAUAAAAUGAAAUAAGAGAAUAGUACUUAUUGACAGGGGAGAAUUGUACUUAUUGGUGAUUGAUACUGGUGGUCGACAGUGGUUGGUGACAGAUGAUGGUGGUUCGUGAUUAUUGACUAUUUCGUAUAAUCAAUAAUAGUAAUUAUUAAUGAUCAAUGGAUUAAUAACAAUGUCUUCAUAAGAUUUUUAAAAAUUUUUCAAUAUUCAGAAAGUUUUUGUUCUCUUUUUAAGAAAAUGGUUUGGUUUUGUAUUAGUAUGCAUUUAAGUUAUCAAAUUGUCUCACUUAAAUUUGAUAUACAUUAAUUGACAACCAAUAAGAUGACAAAUUUAAGUCAAAAGUUUGAUUAUACUUUCAAAUUGUUGUAAAAGCUGAUUUUUGUUGGUUAUGAAUCUUUUUUUUUCCUAAGAAAUUCUAAUUAAGGGCUUAUAAGAUAGGAUGAUGAAAAAGCAAACCUUAUAAUUAUUGAUCAAGUUACCAAAUGGCUUAUAUAUAUACAUAUAUACACACAUAUGUGUUUUGUGUGUCUAAAGAUGUCAUUUUCAUAAUUUCCCAUCUCAAAAAAAAAAAAAAAAAAAAAAAACCCUUUUAUCUUAUUUCACCUAUGACCUAUCAAGAACUAUAUAUAUAUAUAUAUAUAUAUAUAUAUAAUGAGUAUUAUCACUAGAAGAUGAGGUGAGGCCUUGCUUGGAUUUCUCAUGCACUUUUAGCCCUUCACUUAGAUAUCUAUGGAUAAAAGCCACUCCUUCCUCCUUUACUCACCUGCAUAAAUGUUUAUACAUGGCCAACAUAAAUAUCUCCCACAUAAAUAUCUAAAGCAACCUUCACUUUUUCAAUUACCUCUCACACAAUACCCACUUGAAAAAAAAAAAAAAAAAAUCAAAAUGUAUUAUGAGCAUCAUCACCUUCCUUGUUUGCAUUGCCAACCACAAGAAUAUAUUAGAAUGGUAAAUUUCUUAUUUAAACAACACUAUCUAACAAAAGCUUAGAUACUUUUUUAGAAUCUUUCCUUCUGUUUGUAUAUUGUACUUGCUUCUUUUUAUUACUAUUAUUACAUGGUAUUGUUAUAUAUUUAGUAGGAAUAUCCCUGCAAAAUUAUUAUUUUAUUAUCUUAAUUGAAUGAUUCAAUUCAUAGGUUCAACAUUUGAUAGAGAGGUGUUUGCUCUUUCACAUGAAUAGAGAUGAUUGUGUGAAGGCACUUGCAAAACAUGCUAGUGUUCAUCCUACAGUCACUUCUACAGGUUCAUUCUCUUCUUCUUUCUUCUUCUUCUCCUUCUUCUUUUGACAAUUUUUUUUUAGCAGUGUGGAAAGAAUUAGUCAGAGAGAAUAAGAGUUUCUUCCAAGGAUACUUUCAUGCUAUUUCACCCAAACACCAUACCAGUGAGCUAUCAACUUAUAUUCACAAUCUUAAUUACAGUUCUAUGAAACUAUUUAAGGAUAAAUUUGCUAAAAUAUUUUCUUUUUGCAGGCAGGCUUGCUAGGAGAGAACUUAACUAUAGAAGAAGAAAGCAUUGGAAGACUUUUAGAAACACUUGAAAGCAAUAGAUCAGCUUGUUAAAUCAAUUUACCAAUCUACUAAUAAAUAUGGUAAGUUCAAGACUUUUAUGUGAAAAAUAUAUAAGUUCUAUAUAUGAAAAACAUUUUUUCUGAAGCAUAUAAAGGUAUUAAUUGAAAUUUAAAAUUUUUAAAUGCAUAGUUGAUGAUAUGAGUUUUGUGAAUACACAGAAGGGGAAAGCUCAAUGUACAUUUGAUCCUAUGAAGUUGGUGGUAUCAAAUAAUAAUGAUAUGAGCAAAACGAUGUUUUAUAUAUAUUGUUAAUAGUCGAAAUCAUAUUUUUGUACAUUAUCAUUAAAUAAUGCUGUCUAGAGAUAAUUAUGUUGCCAAGGAUGACUUAAUUUUAUAAUAUUAUGUUUGAUUUAAACAUUAAAAUAAAAAAUAAAAUCCAAGAUUGAUGCAUGAUUCUUUCUUGUCAAUAACAACACAAUCACACAUGUGCAGGGCAAGAAAUGCUUAUGCUGCCAUUUGAUCUUUGUUACAAAUAAAGAACAAGGCUUCCUACCGAUAAGACGUAAUGUAAUAUAGUUAAAUGUAUUUCUAAUGUAAUAUUUAUAUUGUAUUAUAUUACAUUAAAGCUGACUAAACCAAGCGUAAGUUCAAAUGUCAAAUGCUAAUUUUUAUUGAACAUACAGCUUCUAUAGAAAGAAAAGUUGAAUCCGACUCCCUAUGAACUCUCAAAUGCUAAUUUGUAUUUUAUUUUAUUUGUUUAUUCUAUCAUCAGAAUAACUAAGAUAAAAGAUCGAUUUCACCUACCAUUUUAUCAGACUUGCUACAGAAAUUAGCUAACUGAAAACUGAAUAGAAAACUGUCAAGCUAUUCAGCAAAUUGCAGAAGUUUAUCACAGUCAUGCAUCCUGAUAAGUAAUAACACUGUCAGCAGGUUCUAUGGAAGGCAAGAAGGAAAAAUACCUGCAUUGGAUUUAUGAAAACUGGACUCUUUGCCUCAUUUGAUCUCACUGAAACCAAUUUCUAUGUGCGGGCUGUGAGAAAUCUUUGGCCAAUCUUCCCCUUUCUCCUUUUCACAUCUUUCUUCUAACAAAGGACAUAUACAAAUAGACAGACAAGACAGUGAGGAAGGUAAUCCCUCCUUUGGCAUGGACUGGAGCUUAGGACAGUAAAAGAUCUCCAAUUCUCGAAGAGCAGUGAGGUGUUGAAGCCCCAAGCAUUCCAAGGAUUUCAAAUUUUGAAAAUCACAGAUUCUAAGAAAGGUAAGAGUGACGGGCAGCAGUGUCUCCUCUGGGAAUGAUUCAAAAUCUGAGCAAUCAAGUUAUACAAGCCUUAUAUAAAGUUGUUGGAGACUAGAGAAAGCUUUGUUUUUAUUUGCAUAAGAAAUCCACUCAUGCACUGCGCCAUCCUUUCAAUUCUCAAAAUUUGGAGAGAUUUGAAUGGCUUCUUCAUAGAUGCAUGACUUCCAUAGAACUCAGGACCAAUACCCAAAACACUAUCAAAUGCUAUAAUUGAGAGAUCUUUUAGAGAUGGUAACCGCCCAAGUGGAGGUAAGUAGGCACAGUAUUUACAUUCCAUGAGCUUCAAGAGACUACAUUUGAGAAAUAAGAGUCCCCUACCCAAUUCGGAAAUCGUGUACCCCCAUACCCAACAAUGAAUCAUCACGUUCUAGCCUAAAGCAAAACUCUCCAGAUACAGAUUUAGCCAAGUUAUUUAUAAGGUCAUUCAUAGUGUAGCAUGAUUGAUGGACACUCGAUCGUUGGAAAAAUGACCUGAAUACCAGAUCAAGGAAGUACUCAUCACCUAGUUCUUCCAUCUCCUUAUUUUCUCUGGGUCGAACUAAAAAACCUUCGGCCAUCCGUAAAAGUACUAAUUCCUCCUUUUCGAAUUCAUAACCUUUAGGAAAUAAUGCACAAUAAGCAAAACAUUGUUUUAGAUGUGAUGGAAGAUAAUGAUAGCUUAAUCUUAAUGCUGGAAGAAUGUUAUCACGCGAUAAAUCCCAGAUACAGCUCUUCGAGAUCUUUUCCCAUUCUGUGACAUCUCUUUUGAAAUGCAUUAGACCCCCAACAGUUUUUGCUGCUAAAGGUAACACUUCCUCACUAUUUCUCUACCGAUCAUCGUCAAGCAUAAAUGCAAAUCUGAAUUCCCAUCAUCAAAUGCAUGCUUUGCAAAUAAGAACCAGCAAUCAUCAUCAGUUAAUUCCUUCAAGCGAUGUAUUGGAACAUUGCACAUUGUGGAUGCUACACUUUCAUUCCUUGUUGUAACAAUAAUCUUACUUCCUCUAGCCCCUGAUUUGAAAGGUCUCCGUCAGAUAUCCCAAUCAGCAUACUUAUCAUUCCAAACAUCAUCUAAAACAAGCAAAAACUUUUCCCUUCAGUCUCUCCUGUUGCUCGAGUUGAAGCUGAUUUGGAGUUUGCGUCUCACAACCAUCAAACUCGCCUCCUUAAGAAUACGUUUUGUUACCUUGAAAACAUCAAAUUCUUCUGAAACACAUACCCAUGCUUCAAGAUCAAACCAGUUCUGUACUCUGAUAUCAUUGUAGACAAGCUGAGGAAGGGUAGAUUUGCCGAUUCCACCCAUACCCACUGUGGUAUUAUAUCUAGGUCAUUAGCACUUGCAUAAUCUAAUACCAAUAAAUUCAUUAUAGCCUCCUCUUUAUCCCCACCAUACACACAAGAUUCGUCAACAAGAGAAGUUGUGGGCACUUUUGUGAUAUGGGUUAUCUCCAAAACCUUCUCUCAAACUAAGGGCACUCUUCUGUCCAACCAAAUACUCAAGUAUCUCUUCCGACCUAGUUUCGAUCCCCUUUUCAAAAGAAUUAAAAGGAAAGAAAAAGUUCCUCUCCUGAUCAAUGAUGGUUUGAGACCCAACUCCAAGCUCUAAUCGCAUACAACUGUAAAGAGGAGGACUGUCGAGAAUGACAGAGAAGGAAAACAAUAAUAAUGAAACUCAAUUGUGAAUUUAAAUUGAGUAAAGAAAAUAUAUUUGGAAUUAUAAUUGUGAUUUACAUAAAACAUUUAUGGAUUGUUGUGCAACUUUCGCAGUUGCCGGUUACACUUUUUACAUAAAAACAUCAAAUUGUAACUUUGGUUAAUGCUUAUAAUUUUUUUUUUUUUUGGAAUGUAAUUCAAAAACUUAAUUGCUAUACAUUCUAUAAUGAAUUUAAAAGGAAAAAUUUAAGGUUGAAAAUUUCCGAUUUUUAAACAACUCUGUAUAUCCCGUGUAAAUCCCAAAAAAAAAAAAAAAAAAAAAAAAAAAAAAAACAAAUUUAAAUGGUUGGUUUAACGUAUGUGUAAUAGAUAAAUAAUUAGUAGCCUAAUUAACAAAUCUAAUACCAAAAGAAAAAAUUACACAUCAUUAUCGGAAGAGCUGUCAACCGUUUGAUUAAAAAGAAUCGUUAAGCCACACUUGCCACAGCAAUAUCUGUCAGAGUGAUUAGCCAUAAAAAUACCAGGUCCACACUCGCUACACUCCUUUCUCAACCUCUCCACUUUACCAUCUUCGUCAUCCACCUUAUAGUACUUCAAAACAGCUAGCUUCUCCUUUUCCUUCUCGUGUUUCUCCUUCUUAGGAGUCGUAAACACCUUCCUCUUCUUUUUCUUGUUGCCGCCGCCACCGGGAAGCCUAAGCAAGAGGUAGAGAGUGGAUUCGUGCCGAAUAUUAUAGAAAGCUAGGGUUUGAUCGUCUUCGAGUUGGUUGACGGUGAAUAUUAAGCGCUGUUGGUCUUUUGGGAUUUUUGCUUUGUUUUGAAUAUUGAUUUUCAUGUCGGUUACGGUGUUCGCCGGCGAGACGUCAAGAACUAGGGUUUUUUCUGCUGGGAUUUUAACAAAGACUUGCAUGGUUAGUUGAAUUGAUAGACAAUUGCAAAAGUUGAUUUGUAAUUGACAAAAAGAACAUAACAAUUAUGCAUAAAUUGAUCUUUAAUGUUGCUCCUACCGAACUUAAAUAAGUUGAGUUAAGGUCGGUUUUGGAAUUAAAAAAAAAAAAAACAAGGGUUGAUUUGGUCAUUUAAUGUAAAUCUGGCCCAUCGCGUUUUAAUUUUAAUUAACAAAAUAUAAGCCCAAUUCUACUCAAAUGUGCUGGGCUUUGUUACCGUUAUAAUUUACAAAUUCUUUCGUUCAUUCAUAAUGGGCAUUGACGAGAACAAGCCCAAUUAUAUAUAUAUAUAUAUAUAAAUAAAAUGUGAAGUAGGUAAAUCAUUUCAUAAUAUAUAACACCAUACGCUUACACUAUAUUUGAGUAGCUUAUAAAACAUAAUAUAAUAUAAUCAAAUAUAUUUUAAUAUAAAAUUUUAUAAUAAUAUUAUAUUACGUUCCAUUAUAGCUUAUCCAACAUAAACAUUGAUAUUUAAUAUUAAUAAGAUCGAGUACUAUUGAAUUUCAUAAAGUUUAAUUUUUACAGAUAAAAUAUAUAUUUAUCCUGAGCACUUAAGAAUUUAACUUUUAAAUAAGCUUUACUAAACUAAAUAGGAAUUAAAAGAUAUUUUUAGAUAAUAUAAGUUUUAGGAGUACGGUAGAAACUAUCUAAGUCCUUAUUAAUACUACCUUUAUUGUUUAUAGUGUUUGGUGGUAUAAUGUUUAUAAUAGUGUUUAGAGUUUAAAGAGUAGAUUAUGAAACGUUACUGUAAUAAAGCCUUUACAUAAACAAUGCAAAAUAAAAAUAUAGAAAUCUAAAGUUUGUUUUAAUGUCUAUUUUAACUUGUUCCAUAAUCACUUCCUUCCUCUCUUCGACUUCUAAUAUUUCCAUAUCUUCUUUCUCAAUUUUGAUUUCUUGUUAUUGUAUCUAAGUAUUCAAAAGGAUAAUUGAAUGCAUAAAUAUGCUUAUAAAUUUUACAGAAAGUUCUAAAAAGCUUUUAUUUUGAUCUAUUGAAUAUAUUAAUUUAUAAAUAUUUUAACUUAUAAAAUCACCAUUUUAGACAUUUCAACUUAUAAAAAUUGUAUUCAUUAAAUACUUAUUAAAUAUGCAAUGACAUACAAAUCGUUGGUUAAUAAUUUAUGCUAAAUCAUGCGUAAAAAAUUAUAUUUAUUAAAUAUUCAUUAUGGAAAAAAACUACUAGAGGAAAAUAAUUUUUUUUAAGAAAUAUAAUUCAUUAAUAAUAAAAUAAAGUAUUAUAAAUACUCAAUUAGAUCAGACAUAAAACUUAUUAUUAUAAUUAAUAGAAAGUUUCCUGAUCCUUCAACAACAAAAUAAUUAUCUAUAUUCUUUUGAAUAAUAAAACUAAAACUAAAAGAAAUAAUAUUGAAUUUUUCCGUUUGAAGAUAACUUUAAUGGAUAUAAAUUUUUAUAGUAGCAAGUGAUCUUUUAAUUGAUUUGGACAAUAAAAUAACUUCUUUUGGAUCUUUUAUGCUUAUAUUGCUUUCAAAAACUUGUUGUGUUUGUGUAUGACGUACACAGAUGAGUUCAAAGCACUAUAUGUUUAUAGCAUCAAUGGAGGAACGUGCCGCACUACUAGACUCCAUCGAUCGAAUAUACACAUCAGUAAAACAAGAUCUAAAUUCUCUAACUGAAUAAAAUCAAAUAUCAUAUCUUUUAAGAACAAACCUUUCACAAAGAAGGAAACUAAACCAUAAUGGAUAAAUGGAUAAAAGAACUCCAAAUAUGAAGACAAAACAACAAGAAGAAAAAAUAAAGAAAAAACAGAUAUAUUAAAAAGAAAAUUAAUCUAAUUUUAUUAAAAAUAAAUAAAAGAUUAGAGGCGAGAAGAAAAAAGAAAAAUAGUAGUCUACCGCUGAUUAACAACGACAAUUCCAAACAAAAGCUAGACUAGAGGAAAAUAAUGUAUAUCAUAUUAAUAGCUAUUUUGACUAAUAUAAAUUACAAUAUAAAUAGAAAAAUGUAUACAUUAUUAUAUUUAUAAAUAUAGAAAAAAUGUGCAAUAUAUACACACAUAUCGAAACAUAUAUAUAUAGUAACCAUAAUCGCCAAUUUUUUUUUCCAAAUUGUACGACAUGACCACAGAUGAAAAACCAAAUUAGUUAAAUUAAAUAAUAUAAUUAUGCUCAAACAAAAACAAAAUCUCUGUUCAUUUUAGUAAAGCCGCCAAUGAUGACGUGGCCACAUAAGCAAUCAAUUAUUGUCAAAUAUAUCAAAUCAAUUUUUUUAUUUAUUAAUUUCUUCAUUGAGCUAAUAAUAUAAUUGCUUCAAAUAAAACCUUCCCAAGGUAAAUUUAUAAUAUACCUUGGGAAGGUUUUAUUUGAAGCAAUUAUAUUAUUAGCUCAAUGAAGUUAUAUGUAUAUAUAUAUUAAAUACAAUUUUAAAUAAUUUUAUGGAAUCGUGGAUAAGUGUGCAAUAACAAUAGGGGCAAAACAAUUUUUUAUAUACCUCUCUGCAUCUAAGAUUCUAGUUUUUACAGAUAAAAUAUUGAUUUAAUUUGUGAUUAAUAUAAUUUUUAAAAUAAUAAUUUUCACAGUUUUUAACUAUUUAAUAAAUAUUUAAUUAAAUAAAUUUUAUAAAUUAAAGUGUUUAAUAAAAUAAUUUUGUAAGCUAACGGUUUAGCAGGUACAAUUCUAUGAGUUAAACUAUUUAAUAUUUUAAAAUAAAACUAAAGGUCUCACAAUAUUUUAUUAAAUUAUAAAAUGAUGAAUUUAUGCAAUUGACCUAUAAAAUUAUAAAUGGUGAAAUUUACAUAAAUCUAAAGUAUUUACUGAAUAAUUAAUUUCUCAUGAAAUUCUUGUGUCACAUGUUUAAGAAAUAUUUGGUAUUCAACAUUGUUUAUUUAUUUAUUUUAAUUUGCUUAAUAUUAAUCAUUUAUAUAUUAUUUAAAAUUUUUAAUUAUUUUAAAAUUUACUUAGAAUUAUAAGUCAAGUAUUUUAACUUAAGACUUGUACUAAAUUAAUAAAUUAAUAGGUUUUUAAUACUUUUAAUUAAAAAAUUUACUCACUUAAAUUGUUAAUGCCUUUGAAAUUAGGUUUUGAAUUUUCAGUAUUUAAGUAAACUACUUAAAUAACUUGUUUCCAUGACUUAAAAUGCAAAUUUUCCACCCUUCAGUUAUCAAUAUGAAAAAGGAAAAGUAUGAAAAGCUAUCCUAUUGUUAGGGCAUAUACUUUUAAAUAAUUGCAAUUGAAUAUCUAAAUUAUAUCAUUUACGUUUUAAAAAUAAUUAUGAUAUUCCUAAAUUAUGUAUUAUUUUAUAACUGAAUUAUUCCAUUCAAAAACCGAUUUUUUAAAAAAUGAAAUAUGCUCAAUUUUUAAACGGUAAGAAGACAUUUUUCAGUCAUGCUGAAUAAAAGAGGUCAGAAUUUCAUGAUUUUAAAUGCUGAAAUUUUAUGAAAAAAACUUUAAUUAUGGGCAGCUCCAGUUGGACAGCAGAGACUUCUGUGAGUGGUGACGUGUCAGCAAUCAGCAGGUAAAUUGAUUUUGAUUAAGAUCUCAUAAGUCAAAGAAAACUGCAUUGACUGGGAAGUUUUGCCAUUAUCGCUUGCAUAUAUACUGGGAUUUCAAAGCCAAGUUAAUUAAGCAGCCUGAUUGGUGAUUGGAUAGCAAAAUCAAAUAUUAAAUAAUAUUAAAUAUUUUUUUAAAUUAACUCAUAGUGAUUUUUAAAGAUUAAAAGUCUAUAUAUCAAUUAAAAAAUAAAUUGAACCAAACAUAAUUGAAUAAAUUAUUUUAUAAAUUCCCAAAAUUCAGUUUCUGCUUUCAACCCUAUGCUAUUCAGUCUUUCUAGAAAUAUUCAAUGACUGAGGAACUAAAUUCAACACUUCACUUACCAUAAAAGUAAUAAAAUAAAUUCAAUCGGCAGCAUCAUCUUUUAUAUAGACAUUAUGCUUUGGUAGAGAAAAAUUUGAAGUAUGGAAUCAUUAAUAAAAUUAUUUGUGCCUAAUUCACCAUUUAAAAGUUAGCUAAAAGGAAUAAGAAUUGUCUAAUUUUUACUUGAAUAAUAAUAAAUUGAACUAGAAAUAAUAUAAGGUUCUUUAUGACAUUUUAUAACUAUUAGCAACAAGUAUCAACUACGAGCUUUCGUUGACAAUAAAAUCAAACGGUCCUUAAAAAGGUUGUUUAGUUGAGCUAAUUCAUGCAACAAUUAAAAGUUUUAGGUGUUUGGUAUACACAUUUUGGAGUUUUUACCGUAAUAGCCGGUAAUUAACGUGUAUCUAUAUUAUAUUUGGAUUUGAUUACCCUUAUACAAAUAAUUGCUAAUAACUUUUUUUUUCGAGUUAAUAUUUUCUAUGAUCAUUUUUCCAUACUCAUUUAAAAAUAAUUUUUUAUUAAAUAUUAAUUUAGAAAAUUUAAUUAAUUUUUUAUAUAUAAUACAUUAAAAUAAAAUAAUAUAUUUAAUGCAGCCUAAACCCACCCCAGAUUCACCCUCGAGCUGCAGAGAUACUGACUAUGUGAGAAGGAACUCUUUAUGCAGGUUUUAUUACAGGAAAUCCUAAUCACCGCCUUUUCACCAAGAUCUUAAAGCCAGGAGAUGCGUUUUCAUUGACUUCCAAUUGAAUAUUAGCAAGACUCAUGCACUUGCUCUAGCUGUAUUAAUUUUGCACCAAAUGGCAGUCUAAACCCACCCCAUAUUCACCCUCGAGCUGCUGAGAUACUGACUGUGUUAGAAGGAACUCUUCAUGCAGGUUUUAUCACAGGAAAUCCUACUCACGGCCUUUUCGCCUUGUAUUAUAAAAGUUAUUGCAAUCAUAAUACAAUAUACACACAUUAUACAUCAUAAUAUAUAAAAACAAUUAUAUAUUUUAAUGUUCAUUUUAUAUUUAAACAACAACCUGCUAUCAAAAUUUUACCAAACAUUUAUAUAUUAGCUAACCACUAGCUGUAUAUCAGUAAUCAUUAUCAGUUAUUAACUGAUAUAAACCGUUGAACCAAAUAACUAAUUAAAUAGCUUUAGCAGCCAUAAAGUUACAGUAAUGUAACUAUUUAUAAGUAGCCCACUGCCUUUGAAAAUCUAAUUGUAGCCAGGGGGUAGUGAAAUUAUUAUUAUGACAUAUGCCAAAUAACAAAAAAAUAAUUUUGGAUAAAUUGAUUGUCAAAUGUCAACAAAAUAUGGCGACAAUUGUCUCUUUGCUUAUCAAACUGAAAGCCUUCAUCUAUAAAUAGCCAUGCAUUCCAUGCAAGAUUUCUCACACCUCAUCCAAGCAAAUAACAAGUUGUAGAAUUCUAAUUAAGCAAUAAUGAGAACUGCUAAUUUCCUUGUAGCUCUUGCAGUCUUGGCUUCGGCAUUCUCUUUUGCGAUGGCUUAUGACCCUAGUCCUCUCCAAGACAUUUGUGUUGCAACCAAUGAUACCAAAUAUGGUGGUAAGUGUGAGCUAAUUGUGUUUCUUUCUUUCCUUUGUCAUCAUCUUUAAGUAUGCAACUAACUACACUCCUUUCAUGCAGUGUUCGUUAAUGGAAAAUUUUGCAAAGAUUCAGAGAAAGUGACAGCAGACGAUUUCUUUAUUACAGGGCUUAACGUUCGUAAACAAACCUCAAAAGCAUUAGGCGUACGUCUCACUCUCUCAACCGUAGAUCAAGUUCCAGGACUCAACACUAAUGCCUUAUCCAUAGUCCGACUUGAUUUUGCACCAAAUGGCAGUCUAACCCCACCCCAUCUUCACCCUCGAGCUGCAGAGAUACUGACUGUGUUAGAAGGAACUCUUUAUGCAGGUUUUAUUACAGAAAUUCCUAAUCACCGCCUUUUCGCCAAGAUCUUAAAGCCAGGAGAUGCGUUUGUGUUCCCACAUGGCCUCAUUCACUUCCAAUUGAAUAUUGGCAAGACCCCUGCAGUUGCUCUAGCUGUAUUGAAUAGCCAAAAUCCAGGAGUUGUUACUGUUGCCAAUACAAUAUUUGGAGCUAGCCCAUCUGUAAAUCCUGAUGUUCUGACAAGAGCAUUCCAUCUUGAUAAGGAUUUAGUGACUAAACUUCAAAAAGAAGAAUGGGUUGAUCCAGAUCAGCUUUAUUAAUUAAUUGGGUUUUAGUUUUAAUUAAUCCCUGAAAUUCUGCAAGCAGAAAAUUAAUUAAUAUCCUCAUAAAUAAUUCACUAAAUUGUAGUAAAUAAAAAGAGGAUAUAAUUUCUUGCUUUUCAUUUUAUUACGUGCAUGCAUUUUUUUUUUUUUAAUCUCAAAAGAGUGUAUUGUAGCAUAAUAAAGGCGAGGAUGCUUAAAUAUAUGCCUCUCUCACCAAUUUCAUGUUAUUUUAAGUGAUGUGUACUAUUGCAAGUUGUUUAAUUAGUAUAUGUUCUAUUUUUUCUUUUUCAAUUUUUGAGUUAAGUCAGUCCAACAUUGAUAUGUUUGAUUUUUUUUUUUUUUUCAAUUUUUGAGUCAAGUCAGUCCCACCAACAUUGAUUCCUUCAUACGUGUAUCGGGCAAAUGCGCCCAUAGUGACUAGUUUGGAACUUAGAAUCCCUAUGAAUAUGCCAUUUUGUAGCAUUGUGUCUGGUGAAGGGAGGAAGGACUAGGGAUAGCUCGCCGUGAGCUCAAAAAAAGAAAAUCCAAAUUUACUAUAUUAACUUACUUGGAUUUUCUUUUUACUCUAACAUAAUAACUUGAAUUAUUGGUUCAAUCGGUGAUUAUUUCAAAACUUAUUAAGGAUAUGGCAUAAAUGUGUUAAAAAAGAGUAAUGAGAAUAUAUAUUAAUUACUACCACUAUUUGAAGUAGUAUUUAGUGUUUUGAUUGGAUCAAAACACUAUCUUAAUUAAUUAUAGCGUUCGAUAAUAUAAUAUAUAUCUUAACGUUUAGAGUUUGAGACAUUGUUUCAUGAAACGUUAUCUUCAUUAACGUUUAGCGUUUCAUAAUUUUUUAAUGACAUCUAUACUCAUUACUUGUCUUUACCUUAUUUUCUGCUUUCAUAUUUUUUUGUCGUUUUAUAUUAAAUAGCUAGUCAAAUAGUUAUUUGCACAAAACACUUUUAUUAUAAGUCGCUGUAUAAACGGCUAACCAUUAACAGUUAAUAUCUAAUAAUUAAUCACUAACAAAAUAAUUGACGACUAUUAAAACAGCUAAUAACUACUAGAACAGUUAAAAUUACCGAACAAAUCCUAAAAUAUAUAAAAAAGCAUCAGUAUUAUCGAUCUUAUAUUCUAAACCAAUUUAUAACCCUAACCCUAAAACGUAGAUCUUAUCAUACUAUGAACCAAGCUAUGUCGGGUGUAAUUUCUCAUACUUAAGUCUUAAGUUUUGUCCGAUUUGAUUGUAUGGAUUUAUUUAUUUUUCUAAAUCUAACCCUGUGAAAAAUUUUAAACUUAGAGUCUAGCUUAAACAUCUAAUGUCUUUGAUUUGGGCUGAAUCACCCAUAAUGGAAAGCUCAAGCUCAGCCCAUGAAUCUUGAUGCAAUACAUGCAUUGACGUGCAAUUUGAACGGGAAAAUUUCAAAAAUACUUAUGAAAGUGUCCUUAUACCAAGCAAAUGAUUGAUUUCUAUAUGAAAAAAGAGUUAUAUUUACCAAGACGGGAUCCAAAAGGUAAAGUCGGAGCUGGUAUCAAGCAAGAGGUUAGAAUUUACGAGUGAAAAUAUGUGAUAUAGGCUUUUUUAGAAUUGGGCCAACCAAUGCUAUAUUUUCACACUUUUUGUGGAUUUAAUAUUUAGACGAUGUUAGAUUUUUAAUCAUAAGCUAAUCUUAUUUUAUUACAUUACAUAAUAUUUAGUUAUAUAAUACACAACUAUAUAUAGAUCUUUAUGUUUAAAUAAAAACUUUUAUCUCUAUAUUUUCAAAUUUAUUAGAAGAUUUUAAUAUUUUUAGUUACAGUUUAAAUUUAAUCAGAGCGCAUAUUGGACAUAAAAGAUUCAUAUAAGCAAUCCAAAUCAGUUUAAAAACUACGACUUAAUUGUUGUUGUAUUCAAUUUUAAUUAUGAGUAUAUUUUUGUAAUUAUAAUUAAUAUAUUUGAUUAUUUAAUUUUGACACUUCCAAUAUCCAUCAUCGAUCUAUUAUUAAUUGUUUUGAUUGACAUUGAAAGUUCAAGAUAAGUAAUUUGUUUAUGUAAUAUGGUUAUAAUAAUAUAAUUUCGUGUCAUUGUUAAAAGGCAAAUGACAAAUUUAUUCAUUUUCGAGAAAACUAAGAUAUUUAUUUGAUUAAAUUUCAAUUUGAUACUUUGAUUCUCUAAAUGAAUAUAUUAAAUACAAGCUGUCGAAAGAUCAAUCUCAUAUAAAAUAAUGGUAUAAGUAAUUUGAAGAUUUAUAAGCAAAUAGGAGUUAAACUCAACCAAACUCAAGUAUUUCUAUAUAUAUAUAAGAUAGUUUUAAAUAUUUAUUUAUUUAUAAGUCCAUGUAAAAUUUCAAAUUUAUGGGUUUUGUUUUUUUUUUAAUCCUUAUGCAAAAUUAGUUGAUAUAUACAACUCGAAUAGGGUAGCUCAGUGACAAAGAACACUCGAGGUGAUCACCAUGGUUUAAGUCAUGGGUUCGAUCAUCCAUAAUGCAAACUUCUUGAGAUCAACUCUUUUACCUGUAAGGGCGAGCUGAGAUUCGUCGGAAAUCUUAUUGGAUCUUCCAAUUUAUUCAUUCACAUAAUAAGAAAUAAACUUAUUUAUUUAAGUUCAACCAAUAAGUUAUAUAACUUAUUGAAUAAAAAAAUAAAAUUACUCAUUAUAAUCAUAAAAUGAUACUCAUGUCACUUAUCAUUCAACAAUAAACUCUUGAUAUCACUUCUUAAUCAUAUUCAAAAUUUAAAAUUUAGUCCCCACAAAAGAUCCCAUAGAGUUAUUUAAGUUUUUUAAAUUUUAUUUUUCGAACCACCUCGAUUAUUUUUUUAAACAGACGACGUUCCUUUCCAUCCUUUUCUUUAUUUUAUAUAGUUCUUUUCAAUAAUUUUCAGUUUUGUUCAGAAUAAAUAUUGCAUUUAGUCUCUCACAUAUGAUAUAAUUGGUAUAAAUCUUGAGCAUUUGUGGUAUUCUCUUAAUAGGAUUAUGUUUUUGAUUUAUUACGUUUUCUCCCCUUUUAUUGGAAUUGUUCCUCACUAAUAAAAAGUAUAUAUGUAUGUUUUUUUUUUUAUGGAUUAUAAUUUUCUUAAUAUUGUUGGAGACAUUAAAUUUUUAAGUUUGAGUUUUUUUUUUUUUUUUUUUUUUUUUUUUUUGACCAAUGAAGUUCGGGAGUCCGCAUAUUCUUCCAUCAGUAUUUAGUGUUUUAGACUCUUUACAUGUAUAAUUAAGAUAUAGCAAGUGUCCAAAAGGACAAAAUUGCAGAAAAUUUUUCUUAUUGUUCUAUUUGAAAAAUGACUAGUUAUUACUAGAAACAUUAAUUUUAUAUAUCAAAAUCAUCUCCAAACAGAAAUUUCAAUUUUCUAAAUUUAUAUUUCUUAUUACUCCAAAAAUAUUGCAAUGUACUCAUAUUAUAUUAUUUAGUAAACUAAUUUUCUUUUUUUUUUUUUUGAGAAUAAAGAGACUGCGCAUUUUUGUCAAUACUGUGGCUUUUAUCCGCGAAUCCAGUGCAUCCAAAGAGGAUUAAUUGAUCAUAGUAUUUUUUUUUUUUUUUUUUAUAGAAAAGUUAUAUAUUUAUACUCGCAUUUCAAUAUGUCCGCUAUAGAAAAAAAAAAAUUAAAAGUUUUUGUUUUUUUAGAAAAGUUAUAUAUUUAUACUCGCAUUUUAAUACGUCGACUAAAGAAAAAAAAAAAUAGAAGUUUCUGGAUCCGCCGACAUUAAUAUAAACAUUUUUUUUUCAAAAUUUUGUUUAUCUAAUUGUUAAACUUCUUUUUUGAUCCCCUUUAAUUGAAGCAUAGCUUUACAACAAAGAAAGACGGAAAGAAAAAGGUGAAGCAUGAUCCAAAGUAUAUAUGAAUUAUUGUUGCUUUCGUUUAUAUCUAUCUCUUGGCUGUGCAAUGUGCUAAGCUAGGUCCGUAUCUAACCCCCUUGUUUAUGCAUUUUGACAGAUAUAAUAAUGGGCAGAGAUGUGCAUAACCACCGAUUGGACCGAACUGAACCGAACUGAUCAAUUUCAAUUUGAUCAGCUAUUUAAGGGAAGUUCAGUUUAUUCAAUUUGAACUGAAUUUGUUAUUUAAUUUAAUUCGAUUUAAUAGAAGUUCAUCGGUUGAGUUUAACACCGAACUAAAAUGAUAAAAUUGAUCAAAUUGGUUGAACUGAUUGAUUUGGUUCGAAUCAAUUUGGUUUAGAUGUCAAUUUCAGUUUGGUCUCGUCCAAAAACUUCAAUCUUGUAUUUUUCUUAUUUUGAUUCGAUUUAAUUUGAACUAAACCGACCGUUUUCUCACCCCUAAUACUGGGGUAGGAAUAUAUGUCAAUGAUUGUUACUUCGCAUACAACAUUCUUUCAAUAGCAUAUGGUUAGGUGCCCAUUAUCCAGAGUUCAAAUUGGUUGAAUCCAGGAGUUAGGAAUUUUUUUUCCCUUUCAACAUAAAACAUUUUAGUUGAAGCAAAUAAAACUAGCAGAAUUGUUUUGAAUCUGGAAUUAAUUUUUUAUUAAGAUUAUUUGUAUUCUUUUUUUAUACUUACAAUCAAGAUAUCUCGAGUCAUUUUAUGUGCAAGGAAAUAUUAAAAAAUGCACUCUCCAGUUUCGCAAUUCUUAUUUCUUAAGUAUUCAGUAAAAAUUGAAAUCUGAAUUUGGACAAUUAGGAGUUCUUUUUAUAUCUUUACCAAUUUGACUAAUUUUGGUUGAGCAAUUAAUUUUUUAUAUUAUGAAACAAAAAUUCAAUAACUGAAUUGCUGAGCUUAAUGGUAGAGGUAGCAAGUUUGUGCAUUGAGCUGGAUUAUAUUGAUUAAGGACCAAUUAGAGGUCAAAGGAAACUGCAUAGAUUGGAAACUUUUGCCCUGCUAUUUGUGGACAUUAAGGAAAUCAUGCUUGUAUUAUUAUAAAUAUGGUGUUUCUUACGGUGAGAGUCAAUCUUGAUACUUGUAAGAAUGCAAAUACAAAUUCGAUCUAUUAGAAGCGAACUUUACUGGAGGGGUUACAACUAUUUGUGCUCUAUGGCCCAAAGGGAUACACCUCCUAAUUAUAUAUAUAUAUAAAAUCGUUUAAGUUAAUUAAUUAAUAUUAAGUAAGAGCAAACUACGUAAUCAAAUAUAAUAUUCUCUUCAAUAAUAAGAUGUUGGUUGAUGUGAUUAACAAUUUCAAUCCUUAUAAGAGUAAGAACACAAAUUUAAUCCCCGAAAAGUACAUUUUACUGGGAGGGCCGAACACCUUUAUGCUUUACGGCUCAAGGGGAUUAAGGUCAUGUUUGAUUGGGGGUAAGUAAAUACGGAAAAUUGAAAUUAGCCAUAUGUUUGGUUGCUACUAGAAGAGAAGUUCCCGGGAAUUUAAAAACCUCACUUCCUUGACUGUAUAGGAAGUUACUUCCUCCCCUUGCUCUAAUAGAUUGUUUGGAUGGAGGUUAUUUAAUAGGUUUGGAUAGUAGAGUAAGGUAGAGGGGAGAGUUAUUCAGUCAUUUGGGAAGAGAGUUUGAGUUUUUGAAAGUUAUUUGAGGGGUUGUAAAUCCAUUUAAACACCCCACUUUUCAACACCCCGAAUUGAGGUGUAAGCAUAGCUAAAAAAUUUAAUUUUCAAAAUUAUAUUUAUAAAUCUUCCAUGGCAAGGAUAUUUUUGUAAUAUUUAUAUUUAACACUAUCUUUUUCUACAAUCAAACCAAACAAAACAAUGUUAUUAAACCUUAAUUUACCAUACCUUCCCCACAAGCACAAAAAAUACAUUUAUCAUACUUUAGAGUACCAUACUUUUACUAUAUCUUACUUUAACGAUCCCUUCCUCCUUUCAUCCAAACAAAGCGUAAGGAACUUAACUUCUUGAGCUUAAAGUAUUAUCACUUUCUAUUUUGUACCUUUCCUUUUUUUUGGUUUGCCAAAGGUUUUAUGUGAAGAUUUUUUCUAGUAGUGGAUUUAUCAUUUCUAAUAUCAAAUAUUAUUAACACAUUUUUAUUUUCCGAGAAUUUAAGGAAUCAAUUAAACACAAUUAUAUUAUACUUUAUGGGAAGUUAUUUUCUUUGAAUUAUACUUCCCCAAAAGUCAACUUCCUGAGAAGUAAGUAAAUUGAACCAAAUGAGGCAUCAAUCUCCUUGUUAUAUAUAUAUAUAUAUAUAUAUAUAUAUAUAGAAUCUGGUCUCCAAUUGAUCUUGCGUAAUUGGACUUGGUCUCAGAAUUCCAUAUAAUAUCAAACAGUAUUCAAUUUCUUUUAUUCGUAGGUAAUAAUCUAAAUAAAAAAUAAUUUUUGAAACAUUGAACCAUUUACAUUUGUUUGUGUCUGCAAAUUAUAAUAUUUAUUAAUUCUGUUUGGGUAGGGAAUACUAUAUUUAUGUGGAGUUUGGAACAUGGGCGUGUGGGUAGCUAAUGUUCUACACAUACCCACACACCUGUUUAAAAAUUAAAACUAAAUUUAAUAAAUAAAAAAUAACAAAUAAAAACAACUUUUCAAAUAUCAAAAUUUUAAAUAAGAAAAUAAAAAUAGUGAAAGCACCAAAUAAAUAAGUACAUAAAUUUUUGUUAAAAAAAUGAUAAUGCUGAAUUAAUAAUAAAAUUUCUUCUCUUAUUUAUUUAUUUUUUUUUUGGAGUAUUGGGGAGGAGAUAUUCAAACCUAAAUCUAUUUUGUCAUGUCGUAUAUGCUCCUACCCCUAGCAUAUGCCUUGGUGUGCAAAUAGUAACACCACAACUAACAAAACUCAUACAACACGGAACUUAAGAUGCAGAUUCUAUUUAUUUCAAAAUAAGAUAAUUACAGUAAUAUAAUAAAAAUAAAUAAAAUAUAAACAAUAUUAAAAUGAAUCUACCUUUUUUUUAUAGAUAUUCACAACUAAGUUUGAGCACACAUUAAGGUUUUUAUGUCCAAUGAGAUUGAAUCACGUUCUUGUCCCAUCUUUUGUUUUGGAUUACUUCAAUAUGUUCUCAGUAAUUUAUAAAAUUAUUUUUGUAGUUUCCAGAAAAAAAAAGAAAACAUUUUGUAUUUCAUAGUACAAUACUCAUUUUGGAAUUUUGAAAUUUAAUAUUUUAUUUUAAAAUUUGUUUUAAAACUUUUUGGGAAUAGUUGAAAAUUUAAAUUUUAAUUACAUGAGUAAUUUUUAAGCUUUUUGAACCAUUUUCUAGUUAAAUACUAGAGACUGGCGGUAAGUGAUGAUGGUUUCUGGAUUCCAAACACUGUAAGGAAAUUUCGGUAGUUCCCUGAGCCCCAUAUCCAUGGAAGAUGGGCGGCACACAUGGUGGUGCAAGGGAGAGACGAGUCCAACCACUCCAGUUAACCCUUCGACGGCUUUUCCAACUCAAACUCGCCAAUCGGACCUGUGUAGGUAAUUUCAAAACCCUUAAAAUUCAAAACUAGUUUCAAUUCCCUUAUAAAAUUCCAUGUUAGAGCAACAGAACUUAUUUAAUCAUGUAAUUUUGAAUAUUUGCUAUGAUUCUGGUUGCAAAGAAAUGUCUUAUAUUUUGUCUAGGUUAACUUGAAUUCUUGGUUUUGAAAACAAAUGUACUUAUAAGUACUAUAUUGAUUUGAAUGGAGGAGAUGAUAUUGGAUAAGGAUCGACUUGGAGACAUAAGGAUGCAUAGAGCAUGUUCUGCUUCUGCAACUUUUUUUUUUUUUUUUUUGAUAUGUUUAUUGAGUUUGUGGAGCCUAUUGAAGAUUGUGUUUUUGCAUUUCAUGUUUACCUGUAUUGUUAUGUUAUGUUUUUUUUUUCCUUUCUAACCAUCCGGUGUCUAAAGCCCAUUGACCCGACUAAUUUGAAUCGUACUAAACAGGCUCACAAAGGGGGCAAAACGCUCUCUUCCGAGUGUUUAAAAUGAUUCCAUAUCAAAGCUCGAGUUCGAAACCUUUGAUUAAGAGAUAAAGGAUUCUUGUCAUUCGAUCUUAUCCCUUUUGGAUAAAAUUAGAGAUUACGUGGAAUCAUUUAGGGAUAAAGAAUUAUAAUGUUUAUGAAUUUUAUGGUGAAAGAUAGGUGGGGAUGAUGGUGUGGUUUCUUUAGGUAACAUUAUUUAAAUAUAGCACAUAGUAUGGGAUGAGAGUUGCUCCCUAAAGUGAGGUAUAGUAUGGUUUCUUGCACCUAAUUCACAUCCUAUUAUUAUUUGAUUAUAUGAUUGUUACUUGAGAACUCGAACAAUGUGCAGACACUAGAUGUCGGUAGUUGCUAAUAGAACGAAGUUACGAGGUUUAAGUGUAUAUUUAAUCUCCUUUAAGAACUAUAUAUAUACUUAAUUUAAAAUGUUAAAAAAAAUUCAGAAGUUAGGCAGCAAAACGAAAGAAAAAGAAAAUCACUAUUUGAUAAGUAAAUUUUUUUAAAAAUAAAUUUAGAGGUAGGAGGGGCCAAGGUCCAUGGCCCCCAAGCUUCAUCACAAUAUUACCUAAGCAACUUUUCAGGCUUUACUUGAUGGGUGAGGGAAGGUCGUGAAGAAAGGUUUUAUAAAGUUAUGCAAGUUAACCAUAAAUUUAUGGCAAUUUAAAGUAAGGUAGUUGUAUUUUCUAUAUUUGGGAAUAAAUAAGGUAAAUGAGAUAUAGCAAUAUUACAAAAAUACUCUUCUCAUAGAUUCUCGUAGUAAAAUAAAAUAAUGACACAAUCUAAUAAAUUAUGACUUAAUUAUUCAUUCUAUCGAUAAGAUAUCUCUUAAUUUAGUUUUUUUUUUUUUUUAUCGGCAAAUAUAAAUUUAUUAUUAUUAGAAAAUAGCUUAAGCAAGUAGGAGAAACUUCCCUAAUCCAGGAUUCCACACCCAAGCCAGCAUGCUUUCUCUAAUACACUCUCAAAGCCUAAACCUAAAAAAGAGGAGAAAAGCCUACUGCAGAUACAAGAAAUAAAACUGCAACCUGAACAUAACUAAUAAGAGGGGCUUCUUUUCAUGAAGGAGGAAAAGAAGUAAGGAAGGGAAAUAAAACUCCCACAAUCAAUUAUCCCAAGAGCUAGUAGGUGAGAUUAAAGCCAAGCUAAAAAAGGAUUCACCUUAUCAACUCCUUUAAUGGAUUAACAUAUCAUGAAAAAAUCUCUUUCGAACCCUUUUCUUAUAUAUCUCAAUUAACAUAUCAUCAUAAUAUUAAUUCAACACGGUUGAUUGAGAUCUGCCUUCUAUUUUUUUUUUAAAAAAAAAAAAAAAAAACCAAUUUAGCACAUUUAAAAUGUUAUGGCUAAAGGGCAUGAAGUUGAUUUUGACAAAUGAAAUUUUAUUGUAGAAAAUUAAAUUAAGAAGUGACUUAAGUGACUUAGUACGUUUGAUUUCAAUAAAUGAUAUCUAUACAGUUAGGAGUUUAAUUUCUGAAAGAUAUAAUUAUAGAGAUUCACAAUCGAAGAGCUCAAAAUGUGUGUAAAGAUGUGAAUAUAUUCUAAGGAAAAUUUCUGUAUGUUGGUUGAAAUCAACCAAAAAAAAAAUAUCCAGAAACCAACUUUGAUAGAAAUUUACUUUCAUUGUCCACCGUCACAAUUUUCAAAUGAUAAUGAAUAUUUUUGUGCAAUAAUUGAAAUUUCAAAUAAUCCUCCUUGUCUAUAAAUAGCCAUGCAUUUCCAUGCAAGAUUUUGUCAUCUCUUACCAAACAAAUAUAGCUAGCUAACUAGCAUAUACAUAAAAAAAAUAUAUCAAAUUAUUAACUUUUAAGCACGAUGGGGAUGGCUAAUUUGCUUGUAGCUCUCAGUGUUUUGGCUAUGACUUGCUCAUUAGCCAUUGCCUACGAUCCUAGCCCUGUCCAAGAUUUCUGCGUCGCAACCGAUGACACGGCUUGCGGUGGUAUGUAACAAUUAAUUUCCUUUUCUUGAUUUUCAGAUUUAGUUUGUCUCUCAUCAACUUUAUUAUUGAUCAAUAAUGUUAUGAUAAAUGAAAUGAUAAUUAUUUAGUUUGCGAUACUUAUAAUUGUUAACUUUCAUGAAUGAAAAUAGCAAUGGAGGCAUAUAAUUAAGGCGAGUAAUUUUUGCCUGCACCUGAUGUAUUUUUAUACUCUCACUAGGAGAUAUAAUUAUAUAUGCCCACAAAAGCAAAAUUAGAUGCAGAUUUUUUUUUUUUUUUGUCAUUCCACUGUGAUUCACACCAUUAGAGAACACUUGAGAAAUAAUAUUAAUAUUAGUUUUUAAUACAUAGAACUUUGUGAUGGAUUAUACCUUUAAAAUCACCAAGUGAUUAAGAUUUUUUUUUUUUUAUCAGCAACAAUUUUUUUUUUAUUAGAAUAAAAGAUACCAUGAAACGUUAGCAUUUUCAGGAAUUAACCUAAGCCAAUAGGUUUUCCCCAGUACACCUAUUAACUAGCCUGAAAAUAUUAUACAAAAACUUCACAAAAACAAUACAGCCGGAUCAGGAAGCUAGUCCUAUAAUACUUGUAAUAAUCAGUAUAAAAAGACAUUUAUAUAUAUAAUUAUUGUCAAAGUAUAUGCAUAUGCAUAUAAUUUUCAAUAUUUUUUAAAUCGAGUUUUUUAACGUAUGAGUUGUUUAAUGUUGGUAAUUAAUAUAUCUCAGUAUAUUUCUUUCAAUUAAUAUAUAAUGACAUUAUUGUUUGUUGCAUUUAGUAUUAGUAAAUGGAAGAUUCUGCAAGGAUCCACAAACUGUAACGCCAGAUGACUUUUCCUAUUCUGGAUUCAACAUUGCUAGAGAACCCUCAAAACAACUUGGAGUCCGCACAAAUUUAUUAACAGUGGAAGAGAUUCCUGGCCUGAACACCAAUGGCCUCUCCAUAGCUCGUAUAGACUUCACUCCAGGCGGUGUAAACCCACCUCACAGCCAUCCUCGAGCUGCGGAGGUCAUGACUGUCAUAGAAGGAGCUCUAUAUGCAGGUUUUAUCACUUCGAAUCCGUGUCACCGUCUUUUCGCCAAGGUUUUUAAGCCAGGAGAUGUUUUUGUAUUCCCAUUUGGGCUCAUUCACUUCCAAAUGAAUAUUGGGAAAACCCCUGCAGUUGCUAUAGCUGCAUUGAACAGUCAGAAUCCAGGAGAAAUGACCUUGGCAAAUGCAGUAUUUGGUGCAGUUCCAUCUGUUAAUCCUGAUCUUCUUGCAAGAGCAUUCCAUACGGACAGGAAUAUAGUGAAUGAUCUUAUUAAGCAAGAAUGGGUCAACCCAUCUGAGCUUAGUGACAUUAUACAAGGAAAUAUGGAUUUCUAUCCUCAUCCAACUUGUUAAUUUAAGUUCUGGGAAAUGCAAAUAAGAAGAAGAGGAUGUGUAUUUAUAUAUAUGCAUAUCAUAUAUGCUUCAUGUUAUUGUAAUCAUUCAAUAAGUGUGAGGAUACUACCUCUAUGAUUACAAGGGCGGAGCAUGGAGAGACUCAGCCUCAGCAAUAAUUAUUUUUGUUCAAAAAAUUUACUUAAUAAAAAUAGUGCAUUUUAUUUUGUUUUUACUUGAUUUUGGAGUCUGGCUAAUCUUCUGAUUAUUAGCAGAAUUAAAUAUAUAUUGGAAUUACUAAUAAGGUAUUGGUUGAAUUGGUUAGCGACUUUAAUUCCGAUAAGGGUGGAAAUACAAGUUUGAUCCACGGAAAAUACAUUUUACUAGGAGAUCAAAAACCUUUUACAUUUUACAGCUGAAGGGGAUUAAACCUCUUGGUUAUACAAUAUUUAUUAUAUACUACAAUUAAUUAAUAUGAUAAAAUUAAAUCUCUUGUUUAGAUAUAAUAGCAAAAUAAAAGAGCGGAAUCCUCUCUUUAUUUUCCGUGAGUCUAUUUUUUAUUUUCUCCAAAUUAGACUAUUUAAAUUAGGUUGAUUCAAGAAAAAGCAAUAAAUUGUUAUUUUUGGUCCUUUCUUAUUUUUUCAAUUUCCUAAAUUAAAAAAAUUAAACAUAUAUAUUGGGAAUUUGUUUAGAAAAACUUGUAAUCGGAUAGAUGUAGAGGUCAAAUAAAACUGCAUGGAAUGGAAAAUUUUGCUCUGCUGUUUGCGGGAAUUAAGAAAGUUGUCGUUUGUAUAUUAUAGCUUGCGAAUCGGGGCUUCUAAUUAAGCUAAUUAAUUAAUAUUAAGUAAGAGCAAACUGACGUGAUCGAAUAGAUUCCGGUCUCCAAUUGAUCUUGCGUACUUGGAUUUAGUCUUAAAAUUCUAUAUAAUAUCACACAGUAUUCAAUUUCUUUUAGUCACAUGUGAUCUAAAUAAAAAUAAUAAUGUUUGAAAUAUUGUGCAAUUUACAUGGAUUUGUCUCUAUAAAUUAUAAUAUUUUGUUUAAUGUUAAAAUUUAUUUUUAAUAACUUGAGAGUUGAAAUGGGAUUGUAUUGAUAUUUUCUCUCUAAAAAUCAAUGAUCUUCAACUCGAACUCUGAAUUUAAAGUCAUUUUAAACAUCAGAAAGUAACUGCUUUGCUUCUUUUUAUGAACUUACUUGAUAAUUAAACAUUUCAAAACUUUUAAGUUUCAACAUUUUCAUAAGUUGGAUUGAAUCAUGGAUUUACUAGGUAAAUCUAUAGAUUUGACUAAAUGCCUUAACUUAUAUAUGUGUAUGUGUUAUAUUAAUUUAAUUUGAUUUAUAAUUUUAAAUAUAAAUACUAAAUUAUUUAUAUAUUUGGUAAUUCUUGCCUUUUUUAAUGCUCAUUCUUUCUUUAGCAUAAACUUGUUUUAAAAUGUUGCUAUUGUAACAUAUUUUAGUUUAAACUUAUUGUAUAUAUAAUUAUUUUAAUUUUGUUGGUUGUUUUUCUUAUUAGAAAAUUAAUUAAGUUAUAUGAUUAUCAUUAUUUAUUAUUACAAAAUUUAUUCUGAAAAUUUUGUUAGAAUAUAUUGUGGUUCAUAUAAAUUGUUGUAUAAUUAUGUUUUUAAGUAUAUUUAAUUUGUUGGUUAUUUCUCUUAAUAAAAUACUUAUAUUUUAUUUAAAACUGUUUUUCUUAUUUAUUUGAUCUACAGGUUUAUAUUGGACUCAUACCCAACUCAAUCUAUUUAUAACUCAUGGAUUCACGCAUUUGAUGGAUUGAAUUGGGUUAAAAAAAUCAUUAACCUAUACAUAUGGAUUUAGUACCUAAAUUUGAUCCACGUAAGGGUAUCAAAAUGAAUUAGCAUGUCAGGUUCGACAAUAAUCCUCCUAAUACGCAACACAAUUAGAGUUAAGUGUCAACACAAAUGCAAUCUAUUUAAUAAUUAUGUCAAAUAUUUAAAAAUGAAUAUGCCAUGAAAAGUAAAUAGUGAUGCAAAUAUAAUAUAUGUAACUCGUUUAAUAAAAUGGUUCAUAUAUGAGUCAAAUAAUUCAACCAAAUUUAGUUAAAUAGGUCGUAUACAGGUUAGAAACAAGACAGACAUAACCCGAUUAAUAUAUAUAUUGUAUAUGAAAUUAUUUUUUUUAUUUUUAAGUAAAUAAAUUAAACGAGUCAACUCAUGACAUGACUCAUUUAAAUUUAUAUUAUGUAUGAAUUACUGGUUUGUGAAAUCAACCUUUUUAAAUAUAACCCUAAUUUGUUUAAUUCUCGUGUCAUCAACAAUAUUGACAUCCAUGCACCCACGUAUUCCCUCGGGGAGGCGGGAAUAUUUUAACAUCUUGUAGGAAUAUUUUCUAAAAACGUGAAAUGUGAGUGAUAAUUGGAGACGUUAAAUGAAAACGUCCUAAAGUUAUAUUCUCUUAAAUCAUUAGAACGUGGCGAGCAUGUGGGAAUGGGCCGGGGAGCUUUUAUGCAUUCCAGAGCCAUUUGUUUCUAAGAAAUGACUUUUGAUUUGUAGCUAAAAAAAUCGUUUCUAAUUUUCAUUUUUCAUGUAGUGAAACUUGAUUCCUCUGUUGAUUAAUUUCCAUAAUUUUUUAGGGUGUUAUUUAUUUUCUGUUCAACACAUACGUAUUUAAACGGGUUUAGAUAAUUCUAAUCAGAUCCAAAAAGGAUUCGAGUAAUGUAAAUUUAUUUAAGCUUGGGUACUUUAUUUUAUAAACGAAUUAGGGUCGAAUAAGGCAAUUUUUGCAGGCAGCCGACCUAUUGUGUACCCCAAUUCCAAGCAUUUCAUGAAAAUGUGGGUACCUACUAUGCCACUAAUAUAGUUCCUUAUCCAUGGAGUGUGGGCAGCACACAUGGUGGUAGAUGGGAGAGGCAAGUCCAACAACUCCAAUUAAUUGUGGGACGCCUUUUGUAACCCUAACUCAUGAAUUGGAUUUUGAAUAAGUAAUUUCGAAACCCUUAAAAUUCAAUUUAAAGUUCGAAUUCAGAUACUUGGAUGUCUAAAAAAUAAUAAAUUUUUUUAUAUCUGAAUGAUUUUGAAUUUAGAUGGAAGGUGACAAAUAUUAAAAUAAAUUGAGUAUUUUUGUCAAAGAUAUGAUUUAUUAGUGAAAAUUUUUAUGAUCAGGUAUGACUUGAGUUCAGUUAGUUUAAUGAAACGAGUUGAUUUUAUUGAUUGAUUAGUAAUGGUCGAUAUAAAUGUGAUUUCGAGAGUUGUUAAUUAUGUACUCAUAAUAGUAUAAAUUGAUUUGAUAGAGAAGAUGAUAAUUGACCUUGGAGACAUAAAGAUGGGUUGGGGAAUGGGAUGUCUGUUGUGCAUCUUUUUUCUGGUUGAUAUGCUUGUUGAGUUUGUGGAGCCUAUUGAAGAUUGUGUUGUAUAUUAUUUAUCUUUUUGUCUGUAGGUAUAAAAUUAUAAUAGAAAAUUCUACUGAAAUUUUGGGUAUAAUUGUCUUAACUAUCACAAAUUAAAGUUCAAAACUUCAACUUUAUUUUUUCUUUACACAUGUAAGUGAUAAGCAUUAUCCAAUCUUUACCUGUAUUAUUAUGUUGGAGGAUCCCAUCCUUGUACUUGUUCAGGACAGGAUUAGGGUAUGAUUGUGGAAUCACUUAUUAGGGCAAAAGAAUUAUAAUGUUUCGUAAUGUUAUUGCAAAAUGGAGGUCGGUGAAUGAUCGUGUAGUCUCUUUAGGUUACACUAUUUAAAUAUAGCAUAGUUAAUUAGCUGGACAUAAUCUAUCCAAGCUACCAAAAGAGGUGAUAAUUGUAGGUUAAGAGAGUCACCGGCGAUGAGAGUUGCUCCCUAAAGUGAGGUUUCUGGCACCUAAUUCACAUCCUAUUAUUUGGUUUAUGAUUGUUGCUUGGAUGCCUUGUUUCAGCACUCAACCAAUGUGUAUACACUUUACAUGCUGCACUUUAGUAUGUAUUUUCAUCACUGUAGGCAUUGCGGCGAUCAAAUAAAGUUUUUCCUACAUAUAAUUACAAAGUCAAUUAAGAGUUUUCACAAAUAAAUUAGUUUACGCGUCGAUAGUUGCUAAUGUGUUAGUACAUGUAAGCAUAUAAUUACUUUCCUUUAAAAACUAUGUAGACUUAAUUCUUUCUUGUUAUAAUAAAUGAUAAGUUGUUCGAGACAAAUAAGUAAACAAUGAUAGAACUAAACGUUAAAACUAGGGAACAAAAAAUUUUCAAAAGUUAAAUGCUUGAUAAGCUUUUUCUUUUUUUUUUUUUUUUUUUUUUUUUUUUUAAAUUGAGCUAGGAGGGGCUAGGUGCCUAGACAUCCGAGUCCCGGUGACAAGAUUUAAACAACUUUCAAGAUUUUAUUUAGAUGUAAGGUAAAGUUUAUUGAAGUGAGCGAAAUUUAUUAAAGUUGCGUAAUGGUAACUACAUGUAUGAUCUGAUGAUAGAUUCAGUUUCGAAUCUCCUUAUAUAUAUAAAUUAGGUAAGGUGAUAAUAAAUUUUAUGCUACCAUGAAUUUUCAAAAUAAAGUAAGAGUAUUUAUAUAUAUUUGAAAGAAAGGACACAUUGUGUUGUUUAGUUUAAAGUUAUUAAAGAGUAAGGUUAAAUAUAAUACCAAAAUACUCAAAUCAUCAAUUUUGUUAUUUUUAUUAUAUAAAUUUUUAUGGAAUAAAAAGUAAUUAAUCAUCCCCAAUUUCUCAAAUUUAGUGGGCUAAAAACUUUUGAGUGGUUUUUGACCCAUUAGAUAACCAUAAAAAAAUCCUACUACUCAUUAAAACUUUCAUCUCGAACGAUCCAAUAAUUUAAUUUUUUAUCAUUGUUUAUAUGUCCAAUGACGUUAUUCUAAAUUGGGAAUAAUAUUAAUUCAAAUACGAAAGCUUAAUUAAGAUCCGACUUUUUUGAUAUAAUAUUAAAUUUUAUGCCUUAAAGAACCUGAAUUUUUUUUUAUAUUAGCAAAGAAGAAUUUUUAAUUAAGAAUUAAGUAGAAAUAAAUAUAUGUUCAGAUAAAACUCAGCGAUCCAAGUUACUACACCCAAGUCAUCAGGCUUUUCUCAAUGCACUCUAUCUUAUUUUGGAAAUUAAGUAAAACCUGAAUCCAUAUCCAAUACAUAGCCCAAAAUACAAGUGACAGAAAAAUCAAAUUGACUUGUAUUAGACUAGUGCAUCAAAAUUAAUAACUAAUGUUUGAUAAGUUGAGUACUCUAUUGGAUUUGAUAAAAUUUUCCUUGAUUUUAUAAUUUAAUAAAAUAAAAUAUGAAGUGUUGACAAAAAAAAUACUAACAAAUGUUUAUAUUAUUUUGUAAUAAUAUUUUAAUAAGAAUCCAUUUAUUAAUUGAUAUCAGUUGUUAAAGUUUUUUAGAACUGUGAUAAUUUGAAAAUUGUUUGAAAAAUUCAGGGCAAGCAAAAUUGAUUGGCCAUAAAUAAAUUAUAUCAAUACCAGAAUGUAGCUAUCUUGAAGCACAAAAAUUCAGAGUAUAGUUAUUUUCAAGGUCUCAUUUUCUUACAUUUUCAAACCUAAUUUUAGGAAUUAAUAAGGAACCAGUUAAAUAAAACAAGGCAAAUUUCUACAGAAAUUUCUGUAAGGAAAAAUUUAAUUGUAUCUCUUCAUUAUAAUUCAACAAACAAAAUCGAAAAUAAAUUCUAGAUAAAAAAUGUACUUUCAGUAAUCGGUAAUAAUGCUUGAAAGAUAAUAAAUAUUUUCGGUGCAAUAAUUGAAAUUUAAAAUUUUCCUUGUGUAUAAAUAGCCAUGCAUUCCAUGCAAGAUUUUGUCAUCUCUUACCAAACAAAUAUCAUAAUACACAAGAAUUCUAAUUGUCACUCCUAAGUAUAACGAAAAUGGCUAAUUUGCUGAUAGCUCUUGGUGUUUUGGCUAUGGCUUCCUCAUUUGCCAUUGCCUAUGAUCCUAGCCCUCUCCAAGAUUUCUGCGUCGCAACUGAUGAUUCUGCUUCCGGCGGUAUGUACAUUUUGCUUUUCCUUUAUUUUAAUUUCCUUUUCUAGGAUUUAGUAUUUCAUUUUCAGACAGUUAGUUUGUCUCCCAUCAACUUCAUUAUUGAUGAAUAAUGUUAUGUUAAAGUUUCAUAAAUAAAAAUAGACAUGGGUCAGGGUGAGCAAAAUUUGGCUACUUCAGAUGUAUAUUAUAUUACAUUUGCCCAUAAAAGACUUAUGAUCUGAAUUUUGGUUUUAAGAUCACCUAGUAAGAUAAUUUAGUUUUGGCUUGGAAGAUGAUCCUAUAUUAACAUUUUAAUUUUUUGGUGCUUUUAGUAUUCGUAAAUGGAAAAUUCUGCAAGGAUCCAGAAACGGUAACACCAGAUGACUUUUCUUAUACUGGAUUCAACAUUCCUAGAGAAACCUCACAACAGCUUGGAGUUCGCACAAAUCUCUUAACUGUGAACGACAUUCCUGGCCUUAACACAAAUGGUCUGUCCAUAGUUCGUAUUGACUUCACACCUGGAGGUGUAAAUCCACCUCACAACCAUCCUCGAGCUGCAGAAAUUAUCACUGUCUUGGAAGGAACUCUAUAUGCAGGUUUUAUCACUUCGAAUCCCGAUCACCGCCUUUUCGCCAAGGUUUUGAAGCCAGGGGAUGUUUUUGUAUUCCCAUUUGGGCUUAUUCACUUCCAAAUGAACAUUGGAAAAACCCCAGCAGUUGCUAUGGCUGCAUUGAACAGUCAGAAUCCAGGAGUAGUGACCUUAGCAAAUACAAUAUUUGGUGCAAUUCCAUCUGUUAAUCUUGAUCUUCUUGCAAGAGCAUUCCAUUCGGACAAGAAUAUAGUAGGUGAUCUUACAAAGCAAGAAUGGGUCAAUCCAUCUGACCUUAACAUCUAUUAAGAUUAUUGAUAUUAUGCAAGCAAAUAUAUAAUUUUUGCCCUCAUUUAAAUUGUUUAAUUUCAAUAACAUAUAAAGAAGAAGAUAAUAAGGGUGAGGAUGCUUAAUGAAAUGCCUCCUUCACUUAAGUUGUUUUUAAUUUCUAGCAGCAAUGUACUAUCUAAUAUUAUUCAAAGGGGAUGGCUACCCCUACUGUGUAGCCUAUAAUAUUAGACGGCCAUUAGCCGCUUAUAAGUCAAAAGAAUAAUGCUAUUGGCCUUUGUUUCAUUAGAGCAUUUCUAUAUCUAUCUUUACUACAUGUUGAUCCAGCAAUCGACUUAAGUGCUUAUAAGCUCAAAUCAACAACUAACAAGGGUAGAACUAAGUGACACUGGGGCUAUAAUAUAGUGAAAUUUUUCUUUACCCUUAAUUUUAAUUUUUUUUAUUAAAUUAUUCAGUAUCUCGCACAGCUGAUUAAUCCAGAUUCAGGUUCGGGUUCUACAAAAGCCCGUUAUGGGGUGACCCUCCCAACCCAAUUUUUUCCAUUCACAAUGCUAGUACAACUAUAUAUAUAUAUAUAUAUAUAUAUAUAUAUAUAUAUAUAUAUAUGACAAAAUUAAAUACAUUAAUUUAAGGUCCUAAUGAUAUGAACAAUUAAAUUAAUAAGAAAAAUGUAAAUAGCACAAGAAGCACAUGAUACAAUGAAAUUGAUAGACAAAGAACACUAAAGAUUUUUAAACAAAUAGAAAAUGUCUAAGCUUAAAAUUUAGAAGCUAUAUUUGAUUUGAGAAACCAAAUUUAAGAAUACCAUGUAAUUGAUUGUUUUUUUAUUUUUAUUUUUUAUACAUGCGAGGAAACUAAUAGAAAUUUUAUUUUUAUUGGAUCUAUUAAUUAUAUAUUUUUUGGUUUUCUAAAAUAUUUAGGUUAAAUUUUAUAGUACAAAAAGCCUGAUUCAAAGUUCACUAAUAAUGAGUGAUUCUUGAAAAUAUUAAUGGGCUAAUUAAAUGCAUUUUAACUUUGUGUAUGGGUUAAAAUCCUAAUAUGAUGGGCUAAUUAUAUAUAUCUAUCGACGUCGGUGGAAUAUGAGAGGAAGAGUGGCCCUAAUUGUCAUAAUGGUAUUUUUGGCACAAUUUUUUUUUUUUGAAAGGUGGUAUUUCUGGGACAUUAGACACUUAAUUGAAAAAAAUUAUUGUGAUUAACACUUAACUAUAAUAAAAAAAUUCUCCAUCUACACCAAAAUAUAAAAUUUCAAACAUGGAAAACACUAAAAUCAAAUAUUUUAGUUUUCAAAAUUAAUUGAUUGAGUACUCCAAUUUAUAAAUUGUAUAAUUUGAAAUCUUAUAAAAAAAAUUAUUGAAUAAUAAAGUGUGUUAAAAUGCAAGCAUAAAUCGGAUUCAUUAAAUAUUUUUACUGAAUAGUAAAAAAUUUUAAUACAAUUUACUUGUUAAAGUAUUUAAUAUUUAAAAUAUUAUAUCUAUUAAAAAUAUAUAAAAAAUGAUAAACUUUUAAAUUCCUGAAUAAUGAAAGCUAAAAAUAAUUGCGAAUGUCAUCAAAUGUCAUCAGACAGGGAAAAAAUAAAAAUAAAUAAAAAUUGUUUUCACGUGUCCCCGUUAUUUCCCAUUUCUAAUAAACAAUACAAUGAUACAUAUCUUAUAAAGUUAUAAUAAUACUGUUGCUGGCUUGUCAAAAUAUGAUGACGCAAUCCUUUAUGUCAUUUCGACAAAAAACGCGGACGAAAGUGAUCCAACGGUAAUAAUUUGUCAAAAGAAAGUCUAACUUAUUAUUAAUCUAACGUAUUAAAUGAAUUAUUAAUGGAUGAAUGCAUAACUUCCUUUUUUGAAUUUUCUUCAAAUUAUCAUUUUUGUACUCCUUAAUUUUGCGAGGGAUCGCUUGUAUAUCUUAAUUCGUUUUUUUUUAGCUUUUCUACCUUUAGCCAAAUUGAAGUUUGUGUGUGAAUUACACUCUCGUUGACUGUCAUAAGCACUUCAAAAUGUCAUCAUUUGAAAUGCUAUGUUGAUUUCCACAUGUUCAAGAACUAAUGGAAAAGAGAAAAACGAAAAUUUAAUUAAAGAUUUUAAUGCCUCUUGCAAUAAAACCUGAGAAGAAAAUAAAAAAAGAUAGAGAUAACUCGCAACCCAGUAAUGAUCAUUGUUGAUAUUGUAGCCACUUAUAUAUCGCUUAAGGUUGUCCAAAGGGUUUUUCCUUCGCGUUCUCUUUGCUGCCAAUGUCAUAUCUGAGUUGAGUUUGAGGUCUCUUCAUCAAGAUGCCUUCUCGUUUCCCGUGACACUGUUCCAUUCUCACUUUCACCAAUCUUUGCAAUCACAACAACUCAGAUAUGAAAGAUUAGAUUUUUUGCAAUCACAACAAUUCAAAUAAAAGAUCAGAUUUUUUUUUUUUUUUGAAAAAUAGAAUUAAAAGAAAGAAAUAUCUAAUCCCUGUCUCUUGCUUCUAAAGAGCUAUUUGAUGGGAGAUUUGGCUUUCUUUGUUUUGUUUAUUGAACACUUAAUGCUCUGGUUCAGCUUGUUUAAGAGAGAAGAAAACAAUAAGCGGAUGGAGAAUGACUACAUGCUUGAUUUAAGCAAAUGGAGUUCAAUACGUCACCGUCUCUUACACAUAGGAUAAAAACAUUACUGUUUACACUCUGUACAGCAAAUUCAUUCACGUUCCACUGAUCUAGCGUGAUAAGGGGUAAAAAAAAUUAAAAAAAUGAGUUAAGGUACAAAAUCGGUCCCUCACAAAGUUAUAUAAGGAGCAUAAAUGGCAAUUAAAAAAAAUUCAGAGGGGAAAUUAUGUAUUCCGCCAAUUAUUAAUUGAAUUUGACUAAUAAUUCUUAUAACCUACAUUCGUAACAAAAAUAAUUAAAAUAUUUAUGACUGAUAUCAUGCAUUAUCAUCAUUAUAAGCAUUACCAUCAUCAUAUUAAUUUUUCCUUUCAUAAUAUGUGCACAUGGUUAAUUGAAAAUUUUUACAAAUAAGUUUAGAUGAUAAUUAGUAAUUGCUAAUGCAAUAGAAUUAACAGGUUUUGACCUUUUCAAGCUGAUUAUAGAUGUAUUGGAAAACCUAUUUACUUGGUAGAUUUCUGAAAAUGCUAAAUUUUUUCUAGUAUUUUUAAUUUUAGUAAAUUUUUUUUUUGCUGAUAAAAAAAAAUAGGUUUAGGUUUUUUUAUCUCCUAUAAGAGUUACAUGAACUUAAUUCUCUUUGUUAACUUAAUACUUUUGCAGAAUUUGCAGCGGACAGUUAAAGAAUAGCGCAAAGCAAUAAAAAAACUAUUAAAUUAAAUUAAAAAAGUCACGAUUUCGUAAUCAAAUUUUAAAACGAAAACAGACUAUCUUAGUUAAUCAGCACGUAAAUAUUAAGACAAAAAAAGGAAGACCAAAGAAAGCGUACGAACUACGAAACCCUCUGGAAAGUUGACAAUAAUUACGUGUCAAAAUAAUGUAGCCAGGAAUGAGAAAUUCAAACAAUAUACCGCUCUCAUUUUAUAUUCUAGCAAGGAAAAUUUCUGCGCCAUCCUUGAAAUUCAACGAACAAAAUCGAUUUGGAUAGAAAACGUGCUUUCAUUAUCCACCUGUAAUAACUGAAAUUUCAAAUCCUCCUUGUCUAUAAAUAGCCAUGCACUCCAUGCAAGAUUUUAUCAUCUCUUACCAAGCAAAUUCUACUAAGUUGUAUACACAAGACUUCUCAUUAUCACUUUUCUUUUAAAAGCUUCUCAUUAUCACUUUUAAGCACAAUGAAAAUGGCUAAUUUUCUUAUAGCUCUUGCUGUUUUGGCUAUGGCUGCCUCUUUUGCCAUUGCUUACGAUGCUAGUCCUCUCCAGGACUUCUGUGUCGCAACUGAUGGUUCCGAUUCCGGUGGUAUGUAUAUUUUGUUUAUGCAUUUCUUUUAUUUAAUUUCUUUUUUUCUAGGGUUUCAUUUUCAGAUUUAGAUUGUCUCUCAACAGUCAACAGGUUCAUUAUUGGGGUAUUAUGUUAUGAUAAGUUACAUGAUAAUAGUUAAUUUAAUAAACAAGUACAUUAUUCUUUUAUGCAUGCAGUAUUCGUCAAUGGAAAAUUCUGCAAGGAUCCAGAACACGUAACAGCAGAUGACUUUUCCUAUUCUGGAUUAAACAUUGCUAGAGAAACCUCACAACAGCUCGGAGUCCGCACGAAUCUCUUAACUGUAGAACAGAUCCCUGGCCUUAACACCAAUGCUCUAUCCAUUGUUCGGAUUGACUUCUCACCUCGCGGUGUNNNNNNNNNNNNNNNNNNNNNNNNNNNNNNNNNNNNNNNNNNNNNNNNNNNNNNNNNNNNNNNNNNNNNNNNNNNNNNNNNNNNNNNNNNNNNNNNNNNNNNNNNNNNNNNNNNNNNNNNNNNNNNNNNNNNNNNNNNNNNNNNNNNNNNNNNNNNNNNNNNNNNNNNNNNNNNNNNNNNNNNNNNNNNNNNNNNNNNNNNNNNNNNNNNNNNNNNNNNNNNNNNNNNNNNNNNNNNNNNNNNNNNNNNNNNNNNNNNNNNNNNNNNNNNNNNNNNNNNNNNNNNNNNNNNNNNNNNNNNNNNNNNNNNNNNNNNNNNNNNNNNNNNNNNNNNNNNNNNNNNNNNNNNNNNNNNNNNNNNNNNNNNNNNNNNNNNNNNNNNNNNNNNNNNNNNNNNNNNNNNNNNNNNNNNNNNNNNNNNNNNNNNNNNNNNNNNNNNNNNNNNNNNNNNNNNNNNNNNNNNNNNNNNNNNNNNNNNNUAAAAUAAAUGCCGUUUUUAUAAUUUUAAGACUCCAUUAAUUUUUUUUCUAAUGCAUCCUUAUUUAUUUAUUAGUAUUCUACCAUAAUAUAAUUGUCUCUCCAUUACUCCCUUAAUUUAAUUGGGGCAAAAUAGAUAUUUUACAAAUUAAUUUUUGUAAAAUUAGACUGUGAAUUGCAUUCCUUAAUCAAAUCCAUAUGCCGAAUUAAAAACUGACAUUUAUUUUAAAACGGAAGGACUAUCAUGUUGAUUGAGCAAUUACUUAAUUGCUUAUAAUAUCAAAUUCCAACUAAUCACAAUGGCCGAUCAAAUUCUUAAUUGUUUAUAUUACCAUUUUAUAUAAGCAAUACAAAUAAUAUUUUAGCUUGGUCAGGACACUAAAAAUUUAUUGCAAAACAAAACUUCAAGCUCUUUAAACAAAUAGAAAUCAUAUAAGCAAUGCAUAUGUAUUUGAUUUUUUGAGUAUCGAGGAUCAAUGAUUCGAACAUAAAUCUAUUGUCAAGGCAUAUAUGCUCAACGAAUUUCCCACAACUAAAUGGUAUGAAUAAUACAUUCGAAUACCAAAUAUUAAAUGAAUGAAACUACUCUCGAUUAACUAAUUAAUUCUAUAAAUUUACUCAACUAAAUUAUUUUAAUUUAUAAAAAUAAAGCUAUUUAACAUUUCAUUUACCAAAUUUUCUUCACUAUAAUUUGAACGCUUAUCAGAUAAUUGACUAGUAACUUGUGUUAACCUUCCAAAAAAAAAAAAAAAAAAGGAAUUGGUUUAAAAAUUUGCUUCCGUAAAAAAAUUUAUUUGUUAAAUAUUUACUAAAUAAUUAAAAAAAAUAAAAUUUAUUUAACAAGUAUAUAAUUUUAUAAAAUUAAAAUAAUCAAACUAAAAAUAAUUAAUAAUUUUCAUGUGUCGCUCUUCGUCCCUAAUAAUAGUUCUACUUUCCUAUCAAAAAUGUUUUAAUCCUCCCGAAUUGUAGAGCGUAAAGAUUUGGGAAGUGUAAAAUAUUUUUUUAGAUUUUUCAAUAUUUCGGUUACUCCGAAAAUUCAGUUAACACAAAAUAUUUUAUAGUUAAAAAAAAAUUAAAUCAUUUUAAGGAUAAUAACUUUAUAAGAAAGAACAAUGUGCUCCAAACAUUGAUUUAUUAAUAACCUAUUGAUAAGUUUAUUUUUAGAGUAAUUUUAAUAUAGUUUUUAUUAGAAAUUUUCAGUAGUUUUAAUUACUUUUAUUAGUUUAAAACUCAAUUUAGCACAUUUAAAAUGUUAUGGCUAAAGGGCAUGAAGUUGAUUUUGACAAAUGAAAUUUUAUUAUAGAAAAUUAAAUUAAGAAGUCACUUAAGCGACUUAACACGUUUGAUUUCAAUAGAUGAUAUCUAUAAAGUUAGGAGUUUAAUUUAUGAAAGAUGUAAUUAUAGAGAUUCACAACCGUAAAGAUGUGAAUAUAUUCUAAGGAAAAUUUCUGUAUGUUGGUUGAAAUCAACCAAAAAAAAAAUAUCCAGAAACCAACUUUGAUAGAAAUUUACUUUCAUUGUCCACCGUCACAAUUUUCAAAUGAUAAUGAAUAUUUUUGUGCAAUAAUUGAAAUUUCAAAUAAUCCUCCUUGUCUAUAAAUAGCCAUGCAUUUCCAUGCAAGAUUUUGUCAUCUCUUACCAAACAAAUAUAGCUAGCUAGCUAGCAUAUACAUAAAAAAAAANNNNNNNNNNNNNNNNNNNNNNNNNNNNNNNNNNNNNNNNNNNNNNNNNNNNNNNNNNNNNNNNNNNNNNNNNNNNNNNNNNNNNNNNNNNNNNNNNNNNNNNNNNNNNNNNNNNNNNNNNNNNNNNNNNNNNNNNNNNNNNNNNNNNNNNNNNNNNNNNNNNNNNNNNNNNNNNNNNNNNNNNNNNNNNNNNNNNNNNNNNNNNNNNNNNNNNNNNNNNNNNNNNNNNNNNNNNNNNNNNNNNNNNNNNNNNNNNNNNNNNNNNNNNNNNNNNNNNNNNNNNNNNNNNNNNNNNNNNNNNNNNNNNNNNNNNNNNNNNNNNNNNNNNNNNNNNNNNNNNNNNNNNNNNNGUGAUUCACACCAUUAGAGAACACUUGAGCAAUAAUAUUAAUAUUAUUUUUUAAUACAUAGAACUUUGUGGUGGAUUAUGCUUUUAAAAUCACCAAGUGAUUAAGAUUUUUUUUUUCAUCAGCAACAAAAUUUUUUUUUUAUUAGAAUAAAAGAUACAUUAAAAGUUAGUAUUUUCAGGAAUUAAACUAAGCCAAUAGGUUUUCUCCAAUACACCCAUUAACUAGCCUGAAAAUAUUAUACAAAAACUUGGCAAAAACAAUACGGCCGGAUCAGGAAGCUAGACCUAUAAUAUUUGUAAUAAUCAGUAUAAAAAAACAUUUAUAUAUAUAAUUAUUAUGUUUAAUUUUUAAAAACGCUAAAAUUGUUAAUAAUUCAGAUGUUCUAAAACGGCAAUAAGACUUAUCUAUUCUGAACGUUAGAACUCUGGUAUUCUAAUAAAGUGAAUAUACCAUGUUCUAACUGUUGUUCUAUUCACAGUAAAUUUCACUGAUUGAGUUUCUAUUUAAUGUUCUAAACUUUAUGAGGGUGUUCUAAUCUUGAUAGCUCUCCAUCAUAAAGUUGUUCUGAUUUUUUGAUUAAGGCUCUGUGAAGAAAUUCUGAAUUACAGUGGAAGAGAUUCCUGGCCUGAACAUCAAUGGCCUCUCCAUAGCUCGUAUAGACUUCCCACCAGGCGGUGCAAACCCACCCCACAGCCAUCCUCGAGCUGCAGAGGUCAUGAUUGUCAUAGAAGGAGGUUUAUAUGCAGGUUUUAUUACUUCGAAUCCCUGUCACCGUCUUUUCGCCAAGGUUUUAAAGCCAGGAGAUGUUUUUGUAUUCCCAUUUGGGCU
rnacentral:lncRNA from 1 species